rnacentral:rRNA from 1 species
GACAGAGGGUGCAAACGUUGUUCGGAAUUACUGGGCGUAAAGCGUGUGUAGGCGGCUAAGAAAGUCGGAUGUGAAAGCCCUGGGCUCAACCCAGGAAGUGCACCCGAUACUGCUUAGCUAGAGUAUCGGAGAGGUUGGUGGAAUUCUCGGUGUAGAGGUGAAAUUCGUAGAUAUCGGGAAGAACACCGGUGGCGAAGGCGGCGACCUGGUCCUUGACUGACGCUGAGGCGCGAAAGCGUGGGGAGCAAACAGG